rnacentral:rRNA from 1 species
UACGUAGGGGGCAAGCGUUGUCCGGAAUCAUUGGGCGUAAAGCGCGCGUAGGUGGCCCAGUAAGUCCGCUGUAAAAGUCAACGGCUCAACUGUUGAAAGCCGGUGGAUACUGUCGGGCUAGAGUACGGAAGAGGCAAGUGGAAUUCCUGGUGUAGCGGUGGAAUGCGCAGAUAUCAGGAGGAACACCCAUAGCGAAGGCAGCUUGCUGGGACGUUACUGACGCUAAGGCGCGAAAGCGUGGGGAGCGAACAGG